GAUGAAGAACGUAGCGAAAUGCGAUAAGUAAUGUGAAUUGCAGAAUUCAGUGAAUCAUCGAAUCUUUGAACGCACAUUGCGCCCGCCAGUAUUCUGGCGGGCAUGCCUGUUCGAGCGUCAUUUCAACUAUCAAGCCCCAGGCUUGUGUUGGGGACCUGCGGCUGCCGCAGGCCCUGAAAACCAGUGGCGGGCUCGCUGUCACACCGGGCGUAGUAGAUUUUAUCUCGCUCAGGGCGUGCUGCGGGUUCCGGCCGUUAAAAAGCCUUUUUUACCCAAAGUUGACCUCGGAUCAGGUAGGAAGACCCGCUGAACUUAAGCAUAUCAAUAAGCGGAGGA
rnacentral:misc_RNA from 1 species